rnacentral:rRNA from 1 species
AUUGAACGCUGGCGGCAGGCCUAACACAUGCACGUCGAACGAGUGGCGGACGGGUGAGUAAUGUCUGGGAAACUGCCUGAUGGAGGGGGAUAACUACUGGAAACGGUAGCUAAUACCGCCUACCAUCGGAUGUGCCCAGAUGGGAUUAGCUUGUAGGUGGGGUAAAGGCUCACCUAGGCGACGAUCCCUAGCUGGUCUGAGAGGAUGACCAGCCACACUGGGACGGAGACACGGUCCAGACUCCUACGGGAGGCAGCAGUAGGGAAUAUUGGACAAUGGACGAAAGCCUGAUGGAGCAAUGCCGCGUGUAUGAAGAAGGUCUUCGGAUUGUAAAGUACUUUCAGUGGGGAGGCGUUACCAGCAGAAGAAGCACCGGCUAACUCCGUGCCAGCAGCCGCGGUAAUAC